GGAUUAGCUAGUAGGUGGGGUAAAGGCUCACCUAGGCGACGAUCCCUAGCUGGUCUGAGAGGAUGACCAGCCACACUGGAACUGAGACACGGUCCAGACUCCUACGGGAGGCAGCAGUGGGGAAUAUUGCACAAUGGGCGCAAGCCUGAUGCAGCCAUGCCGCGUGUAUGAAGAAGGCCUUCGGGUUGUAAAGUACUUUCAGCGGGGAGGAAGGGAGUAAAGUUAAUACCUUUGCUCAUUGACGUUACCCGCAGAAGAAGCACCGGCUAACUCCGUGCCAGCAGCCGCGGUAAUACGGAGGGUGCAAGCGUUAAUCGGAAUUACUGGGCGUAAAGCGCACGCAGGCGGUUUGUUAAGUCAGAUGUGAAAUCCCCGGGCUCAACCUGGGAACUGCAUCUGAUACUGGCAAGCUUGAGUCUCGUAGAGGGGGGUAGAAUUCCAGGUGUAGCGGUGAAAUGCGUAGGGAUCUGGAGGAAUACCGGUGGCGAAGGCGGCCCCCUGGACGAAGACUGACGCUCAGGUGCGAAAGCGUGGGGA
rnacentral:rRNA from 1 species